rnacentral:piRNA from 1 species
UGCGCUGCUCUGCGCCCAAACGG